rnacentral:rRNA from 1 species
GUCCACGCCGUAAACGAUGCUAACUCGUUUUUGGGGCUUCGGCUUCAGAGACUAAGCGAAAGUGAUAAGUUAGCCACCUGGGGAGUACGUUCGCAAGAAUGAAACUCAAAGGAAUUGACGGGGCCCGCACAAGCGGUGGAUUAUGUGGUUUAAUUCGAUGAUACGCGAGGAACCUUACCAAGGCUUAAAUGGGAAUUGACAGGUUUAGAAAUAGACUUUUCUUCGGACAAUUUUCAAGGUGCUGCAUGGUUGUCGU